UCAACCAUCCAAUCCAUGCCACCGGCUCCUUUACCAAUUCCUGACCAUCGUAUCUAGUAGCUGUCAACCAUACGCACCACCAUCAACCAUCUAAACAUCUCCAACCCUCCUCCCCACCUAUCAAGAAUUACGGGAUCGUGAAUUUGGGAGAAUUGGGGAUUUCUCUUUGAAAUCUAUUGGUUUGGGGCUUUGGAUGAAUUUGGGGGCGUAUUAUUUACGAUUAUUAGAGGUUUUAAUUUGGUUAAAGCGUAUUAAACUAAUUAGUUCAUUUUUUAAAGUAAUGGGCCUAAUUUCCCCAAGAAUAAAAUGUUUCA
rnacentral:lncRNA from 1 species